AGGAAACAAACAGGAAACUUCCAAACAUUUAAAAAAUAAUUUAGGAAAGCACCAAAGAAAUUUCUUGUCACAUAAACAAAUGCUCGUACAGUAUUUAUUUGUUCCCCUUGUUGAAUAUAUACACUUUUCCACCAAUUCUCGUUAAACAAAAUCACAAAUCACAAACAUAUUUUGUGGGGAGAAAUGGCCGGCAUGCUCCCUGGCGUUGAAGCCGCAAGAAGACGAAGAAUUCACAUAAACAGUGACAGCAUCGGCACCUCCCGGCGGUCUUCUUUCUGUCUAUACGCGACCAAUCAAAAGGAAUUUCACUUCAGUUCACACGAAUCUGUGGAGAGGAACCCCCUAAGGUGUGAUGAUGAGAUGCUUGAUGAUGCGGCUAGACAAGCCAAGAAAAGAUUGGAUCAGAGAUUCAGAAAGAAAUCUAAAGGGGAUGACGGAUCUGAAACCAAUUCGCACACCAAUUUUUACAAAUUGAUUUUGAAGAGUGCUUACCAAAGCUGUUACAUCUAGAAUUUUGUAUAGUAUUUUAACAUUGAUUAUGUUAAUUCUCCAAAUGAAUUUACAUUAACGUCUUCGUUUUCUAUUUUUCUUUUUCAAAAUUCACAAUUUAUUUUCCGAAUUCAAUUGAUCUCCGACUCAGAAUGUUUCUCUUUAAAAUUUAAAGCUUCUAAUUGAGCUUGAAGAGGUUGAAAAUCAAAUCGAAAUCUGCCUAAACUGAGUUGAAAGGUUGCGAACAAAUCUGGCAGCGAUCGAAAAUCUAGUAACUGAUCUAGAUCUAAGAAGAAGAAUCCAUCAAUUUCAUGGUCGGAACAAUUGAGUUAGUGAAAAUUGUGGAUGAGAUUCAAUUUAGGGAAAGAAAAGUGUCAUCUAAGGGCAUCCACUAUUUACUCCUAUUUUCAAAUGACUCGCACUUCUUUUACUAUAUCACUGAUUCAUUAUUUAGUAUUUAACUAUUCAUAGGUCACUGCCAUAAUUACUACUUUCUUCGUCCUAGUGAUAAUAAUUCAUUAUUUUUAAAUACGAUUAUUAAGAAGAAGAGUGAUUUAAGAGUAGAAGUGAUAUAAAGUGGUGGAGCCCACAACUUUUUGUAAGAAAAUGUGGUUUUCUUUUAUGAAAUAGGGCAUUAUCAAUGGUACAAACUAGCUAAAAAGGAAAGAGCCAUUAUCAAUAGUACGAAUGAUCACUAUUUUAUUAGCAACAAAAGCUGCAACUAUAACAAUGUAAUUGUAGAAACAAAUAACAAGUAGACUAUCAUAUCCACGAGGACUGAUAAGCGAAAUCACCCUAAGUAAUUCUAAUAAGGACCCUAACAAUAUUUAGGCAAAACACCAAAAUGAAUGAAAUAAAACUAAUAUUGAAACAAAGCAAAUAAAAAUCAAGUAGAAAAUCAGAUGAUACACUUGUAGUACAUGGGUUCAAUACAUAGAAGCAACGAAGAAAAUCAGAUGACUGAUCCUAGGGAUGUAAAUUUAUUAAUCAAAUUCACAUAAUCAACCUAUUAAUCCUAAUUAUUAGUUUAAUCCAGUUAUGAUGAGAGAUCACAUAGAUAAUCAAACACUCUCGCUAGAGCAGCAUAUGACAGUAAAUUAGUAAAUUCUCAAUCUCCGUUAGGUCUCAAGAAAAUUUACUAAGAGCAUCAUUAACGCCUUACACGAUCCAGCCUACUCAUGUAAAGCUGAGAUCGUGUAAGGUGUUGCAGCCCCCCUACUCGUGUAUUACACGAUCUAUCGUGUAUACACGAUGUGCCUUUAAAACCGGCGCGUGUUCUACAACCUUCCAUUUCUCCUUUAAAAAAUCAUGUAGGCUAUCAUGUAAUCCCAAUGCGGCCUCCUUACUCAAUGUGGUCCCCCCCCCUCAUAAAAUAAGUUAUCAUGUAGGCUAUCAUGUAACCCCAUUGCGGAUGCUCUAACUUCCAAAAGCACAUAAGAAUAGCUCUCUAUGAUCCACCCAUUUCCGUUAGGUGUCAAGGUUAAAAUUAUAUCAUGCAUUCUUAAAUCCGCUAAAUAGUUAUCUCCGCUAGCUCUCAAAUCGAAUAGAUACACAUACAAAUUAUUAAUAAGGUAAUUCACAAUAAUUCAAGCACCAAGAAUUAUGAAUCAUAAACUGGAACACAAAAAGGUAUUAACAAAUUAAUCACAUAAAUCUAAUUAACUAUUUACAAACCCUAGAUUCAGAUAAAGAACUUAGCCAGACAUACCAAAAUAAAACAUAAACAUAAUUAAAAAAACAACAAUUGUAAAAAUUGAAUUAUAUAAAACCCGGAAUAAAGCACAGUAACAACUUGAAUAUUCAAUCUUGCAGAAAUUCAAUCAAAGCUCUAAGAACUAAAAAUCAAUGAAAUUCUAAAGCUAUGAAACUAGAAAUGCAACGACAAUUAUGUUAUUAUGCAGUUACAAAAUAUAGUUCCCAUUUUUCACAAUACAUUUGACUUUUAUGUUAACCCAACCUUAUCUAUAGAAAGUGGAUCAUGUAGAUCUCGCUCCUUAUAAUAGUAUAUGGAUCCAAAUCUGAACCACACAUUAUAUGGGGUGCACUAAAAGUGCGACACGUGGCAGUAGUGCUGUCUAAACAAUUAUCGAGUAUUGAAUAACCCGAUAAUUGAACCGAACCAUUCGAGUUUGGUUAUUCAAUAACCAAUUUUUUUAAUUAGUGGAUCGAUUUCGGUUAUUGAAUUUUCAAAAAUUACAGGUAUCGAUUAACCCGAUAACCGAAUAAUCAAUUUUUAUUUAAUUAAUAAGUUAAUAUAUAUAUAUAUAUAUAUAAUAAUUAAAUCAUUCUAAAUUCUGAUAUUUUGUUAAAAUAAAAUUAGUUGUAUUAAAANAAGGAUGUUAACUGCGACAUUAAUUAUCACCCUGGCAAGGCCAAUGUAGUAGCCGAUGCAUUGAGCCGAAAGGUCUCGUCAAAGUUAGGAUGUCUUCUCACGAGAGAGGAUGAGCUUAUAAAGGACUUUGACAAGAUGAAGAUAGAGAUGAUAAAACCACCAGGGACGAUAGCGAGUAUUGUUGCGACGAUGCCUAGUUUGAGGAAAAUAGGUGAUUGAAGCACAAGGAAAGAAUGAGACAAUGAACAAGUUACGAGAAAGGAUAAGAGCAGGAGAUCUCAAGAGUUACCAAAAAAGCAUCAUACAAUGCUAUCUUAUUUGAGGGGAGAAUAUGCAUUCCCCGCGAUGAUGAACUUAAGAAUACGAUCAUGAGUGAGACUCAUGACACGCCUUACACCGCCCACCCAGGAGGCACAAAGAUGUAUCAGGUUGUGAAAAAUAGAUUUUUGUGGGACGAAAUGAAAUGAGACAUAGCUUCGUUUGUAGAGCGAUGCUUAGCUUGUCAGCAAGUGAAAGCAUUACACCAACGACCCUAUGGGAAGUUAAACCUUGGAGAGUCCCAACCGGAAUGCGAUCACACAAACAAGCAAUUUAAGACACUUUACAAAAAAACUAAAGAGCAAAUACCCAAAUAACCGAAUGGUAAUCGAAAACAAAAUUCAAUUCACAACGAUUAUCGAAAAUGGCCCAAUAAGUUAGCACAAACGAAAUUCGUGGAUUAUAACAAAACUCGAACCGAUACAGACCACCUCAGAAAGAGAAAAAAAAAGACAACAUCAUAAUUAUGCAUAUAACAGAAACAAAUAUAUACAAACAUAAACACAAACAUAGCAACGUUACAAUAAAUAUGCAAUUACUAUCAUCCAUAGAGGAAUAAAGCGGCAGAACGCGCUGCCAUAAUUGAAUAUAACUACACACACACACACACACACACACACACACACACACACAUAUAUAUAUAUAUAUAUAUAGGGUUAGCUUCCACGGCAACCACCUACUUAGAUGUAGAAUAGAGACCACAUCAUGUCCGUUGGAUGAAUCUGAAUCAAGGGACCAUAAAAUUCCAUGAUAUUAAAUUAAUUUGGUAUGUUUAUGAAAUCCCGUGAAAUACUCCAUUCCUUUUCUGAUGUGAUACCAUUCGUCAAUGAACGUAAUAGUUGAACAUUAGUAUGUUAUUUAUUUUCCUACGAACAUAUCGUUGUUCAUUUGUUUUUCUACGCAUAUAUCAUCGAACAGUAGUAUGUUCAUUCAUUUUUCUACGAACAUAGCAACGAACAUUAGUACGUUCAUUAGUAUUUUCUAUGUGAACAUUAGUAUGUUCGUUUGUUUUUCUACGAACAUAUCAACGAACAUUAGUAUGUUCAUUAGUAUUUUUUACGAACGUGUGGGAGAGAGAGAGAGCGUGAGUUUGGAGAGAGGGACUGUAAUACCCGGGCUUUUGAUGACGUGUUUAAUUGAUUGAAUUUGAGUAAUUAGGGUUUAGAUCCCUUGUUUGAUUUACUUUGUAAAGAGAUGAAGAGUUAUAUGAAGUUUUGUUGUUAUAUUUUAAAAAUGUUGAGAUGUUCUUUUGAUGAUGUGAGAAUGAUGUGGGAUUUUAUAUCCGUAUUUGAGUUUGAGUAUUCAAAUAAUUCUAGAUAAUUAUUUGAAUGAGAACGGUGAACUCGGAAGUGAAAUCUAAGUCCGUUAAGACGUUUUUGAAAUUUUUGACUUUUUGACGAUGAAUAGUAAAAUACGGCUAUUUCGUCUUUUUGUCGACUUUCAAAAUCUUACGUGCACGUCGUCGAGAAAUAUUCUUAGUUUUUCGAUACGAGUCCAAUAAUGAAAGUUUUUAUUUUUGGACGACGAGUGAAUAGUAAACCGGGAUUUCUCGAUAAACGAACCGAGCUCGUUUAUCAGAAUUUCGAGAACGAGCUUGCGUUUUCUAUAUUUAUAUGGAAUUACGAGUGUAAUGAAAGUAAGUAGAGGUUGAGAGGGCGAGUAACGAAGAGUAUGGGUUGUUAGUCGUUAAAACGAGACGAGACGAGACGAGACGAGACGAGACGAGAUAUUUAACGACUAAAUAUCUAACCCUACCCCACCAAAACCACCCCCCAACCGCCCAAGUUCAGUCAAACACUCUUAACUCACGUUGAUUUUCAGCCCACACACAACUCACACACACUAACACCUAAAACACACACACCAUUCACGCAUAUACCAUUUUUUAGCUUGAGCUCAAGCUUUUGAGCUCCGAUUUGAGCACCGAGAUGAACGCCGAUCAUCUUUUCGAUCACGUAUCUAAGUAGGUAAGAUCUCUACCUACGUUUUGAUGGUUUUCUUUUCGAUUUUCGUCGACGUCGAAAAACGUCGAUUCUCGACUUUAUUUUGAAACGACGUCGGAUCGUCGUGAAAUUUUAGUAUGUUGUUCUUGGGUAGAUGUUGAGCAUGUUUAAUGAAGGGAGUAAGAACGGAACGAACCGUAGCUAUGAAACCCAUGAGGGCAGCCCCGUUUUUCACAUAUUAGCUUGUCUUUCGAUUUUUGUUUGAUCGUUUUGACUUGAUAUUUGUGCUUAGGGGUAUGCUAGAAUCGAUAUAUAUUAAAUUCGUAUUUUUCCAAGCACGAAAAUUGUAUAAAUUUUUAGAGUAUGAUUAUUUAAAUUCGUGAAGUUUGAGACGUUGCAUAAUGAAUAUUAUUGCGUAUAUGUGUUCUACGAUAUCACAUGAGCAUGCUAAUUGAUUUACAAUUUAUGGAUGAUAAUUGUUAGAACGAAAUUAAAACUGGAAUUCUGUCAAAAUUUUACAGCAGUUUCAAGCUUAUGUUUCGAUGAGUUUUCAUUGCUUGAUGGCUCUGAAAUUUUAGUAUGUUUAUCUAUGAUAUGUGUAUUUCGUCGCUGCAAAAUUUCAUGUCUUUUGGAUGAUGUUUGCUAUUUUAAAGAUAUUUUGAAAAAUCCUUGACAGAAUCUGUCAACUGUUGGUAGACUUCACAAAAACGUUUAUAUCUAUUAAUCCAUGAAGGAUUUUGCAUCACCGUUUUUUUUAAACGAAACUAGACUUCAAUACUUUUCUAAAAACAUAAGAUUUCGAUUUUUAUGACCUCUGAAACAGAGCAGUUUAUUAUUUCAAAAAUGCCCUGUUCUGCUGUCAUAUUUUUCCAACAGUAAAAGUGUAUGAGUUUCAUUGUUUAUUUGGCAGAUCAUAUGAACGUUUUCUCUUGUGAAAUUUUAACCAAAUCUUCAAGGAUACCUUUAGUUUUGGCUGAUUAAAUUUGAUGGAAUUUUAUUAAGGUUUGCCUUGGUUUCUAAUGGCCUAAACAAAAUUGGCAGAAACUGUCAAUCUUUGACAGCCUGCACUAAAAGAGCAAUAUCUCCAAAAACCUUUAACCUUUUUGGUUAACUACCAUUUUUAGAGUGAACUACACUUCAUGAAGUUUUUGAGAUCAAUUGGUAUGAGAGUUUAUGAUGAUUGAGUUGGUUGUUAUGAAUUUUUAAAGAUGACACAAAAACAGCAAAACUUUCUAGAAAACAACUUGAUUAUAUUUGUUUUGAUGGAUGAUACGAUAUGACUAAAUGGUGUGAGUUGUGAGAGUUAUGAUUAACGCACAUAAAUGUUGGUAUCUGACACUCGAACAAUUGGUGUCGAGUAUAAAUGAUAGUUUACUGAUAAAGAGUUUUGAUGAUUUUGAAUUGUUUGGUUUGCGUUGAAAAGAUGUCAAGAUGUUAAGUUUUGAGUCGAGAGACGAGUUCACGUAGUGAGAUUCACGCGUUGAAAUCUCGUGGCUGACAUUAUAUAUGAAUAGGUCAUGCCGAAAUUUUUAGUGAAAUUAGAAUUUGAGCAUAGUCAAUUCUUGUUGACCCGUGACUCAAAUACAUGCCUAAUGGAAAGUUUAACUUUCUAAUUGGUUAAUUAGACGAGAUGAGAGCGAAUAGAUCUGCUAAGAAAGUGGACUUUUCGAUGUGUUAAAUAUUUCUUUUAAUUGAAGCGCUGCUAAUUAUAACAUAAGGAUGUUAUAAUUAAUGAGUAAUGACGAGAGAUAAUAAUUGUUAUAUUGAUUAACAAUCAAGAGAGAUGAACAUUAGAGAUACUAAUGUUUCAUAAAAGAGAUUAGAUUAUUAAUCGAGGUUUCUUUUAUAACUUCUCACCAAUUCUUCAUAACGAUGAAGGUCCUUUUGGGAAGUAACGACUUGAGGGAGAGAGUGACGUUACUCAUUGAUACAGAGACACAACGAGGUGGGCAUUACUUUCAUAUAUAUCAAAUGAGUUUAAAUGUUACGUUCAAGCAAGUUAUUUCAUGAUAAAAUCUUUGAGUUAAAGUUAUUUCAAGUAUUGUCUUGCCAUAAAAUGUUUAAAUUUUAGUAUGAUAUCUAUCUGCUUUGGCUUUGCCAAUGAUGCAAUCGAAUUCGGGUCCUGAGCAGUUGAUAGCUAUCCUGCCAGGACUAGUGUACACCAGUGACCGUGAGUCAUCUAGCGGGUUGGCCGGUCAAGUGACCGUGAGAGGUGGCCACCUCUCCGGCACAAAGUUCCAGAUAUGAUAGAUUACAAAAGAACUUAGUCUGAUCAGACGAACUUUAAGAAUCACAAAUGAACUUUGUAAGCUUGGGCCUUUUUAGCGAAAAACUCCCUUGCUGUACUGAUUAUGAUGGCAUGACAAUUUAUAGUUUUGAAGCAUGUAUUUUUAUACCUAGGCAUACGUGCCCACUGAGUGCUUUUGUACUCAGCCCUGCAUAUGUUUUCUAAAUGUGCAGGUUGAGUUGAUGUGAUGAUGGUGCUGCAAUGAGCGGAGUCUCCAGGGUUGUUAAUAAAUAGUUAACCUGUCUAGAAUAUGUCUUCAUACAUAUGUCUAGCUACUUUCCGCUGCAAGAUGUUGUUGAUGUUAUAGUAUGUUAUGUCAUACUUUGAGUCUUAAGAGAAUGGUUUCAUACGAUGUAUAACUUGAUUAAUGAUAUUAAUUAAGUUUUAUGCUGUCUUUCAUAGACUGUUUUCAAUUGAGUAUUAAUGAAUAAAAAUGACGAGUUUUAUUAAGAUGAGUAAGUUUUACGGCUAUAAAUGACGCCCCUUUUCUUCCCCUUCUUCUUUAACCCCAUCCCUAGUCGUGGAUCACUCGGCCUAACUAUCCCUAGUUAGGGCGGGCUGUGACAAUUAUACCUACCCAAACCCGUUUUUAGUCAUGGACAACUUACAUGGCAAUAUCAAGAGUCACUAGAAAAAGAGGUCUAAUGAUUUUAGUAUGUGAUGAGAGUGGUCAUACGCAAGACGUAACAACUAACGUGGUGUAUGAUGAAAUUUUCGAUAGAUUAUGAGGUAAUUGCAAAUUUGCAAAUUUAAUAAUUUAUUCAAUGUUUGAAAGUUCAAGUCAUUAAUGAUAUUAUUUAAUCUAAUUUUUUUCUUAUUUUUUUAGUUACUGGUUUCAGCUACAGACAUCUAAUAUAGAUACGUUUUAAAUAAUUGUUGCAAUUUCUCUUUUAAUAUUUUUUGGAUCGAAAUUAUGCUUACAUAUAAAUUUCAUAAGACAUUUAAUUUAGGUUGAUUUCAAACAAAUAUUACAUCCUUUUACUGUAAAACAAUUUCAUUAAAUGUUCUAUUUUAGUGAAAAGAAAUUCAUGAAAUAAAAAAUAUAUUAAAUAAUUACAAAAAUUUAUGUUUUAAUAGAUUCCCAUCGAAAUUCGACGGGUAAAUUACUAGUCUAUGAUAUUUUGUUAUUUUUCGGAAGGGGCGGACGAAUCUGAUUCAUUAAUUUGCUUCCAUUUUGUUCGAACAUGUCAAUUCAAACCUUCAAAUCACAGCUCACAAAUUUAUCAACAAAAACACAUUAAUUUGAACACAGAACACGUAAUUGAAUUCAAUCCUCCUUUUAUUAGCCAUUUGUUAUCAGCAGAUUGCAACUUUUCUUCCAAACUUUGAUGAUGUGUGAGGAAGGCCAUCCUCCUACUCUUAUUUAUCAACAAGUUUGAUAUUUUGGGCCUCUUGAAACAAGGCUUAUUGUAAUUUACCAUACCUCCAAAAUCUUUUCUAGGCCCAAUAUUUAUAUUUUAGAAUGUUACAACACAACAAAAGUAUCAUACGAUUUUGCAUAUUCGUUCGUUUUUGUGCCAUUACUAUUGUAAUUUACUAUUGCUCGUACAAUUGAUAGGCUUACCAUGUUCUUCUAGGUUCAUUGUGACAAAUCAUGCAUUAUUUGGUUGUCUAAUUUUAAUUAGUUUAAAUAUGUUGCAUGAAUGUCAUAGAAUGUUCUAUUUGAACAAUUGUUGAAAGACAUUAAUUCAAACAGAAAAUAGACUACUUUCUAAUGGAGAUCCAUAUGUCUUAAGAUUGGUCAUCAUUCAGAUUUGUAAAAGAUCUCAAUCCAUUAAGGACCUGUUUGAUAUGGGUUUAUAGGUAGGAUAAAUUAAAUUAAUACAGAUUAGUGUGAUGUUUGAUAUCAUGUGCAGUUAAUAUGGUCAACUCCUACUUAAUCCUACUUCUCCAUGCUAUUUUGUGGGAUUAACUCAUACUAAUAAUCCGCCCACCCCCCUCGGAUAAAUUUAAUACUGAGAAGUUGGAUAAAAAUUCUGCUACCCUUCCUCACGCAUAUCGAUGCAAAUGCCCAAGUAAUGGUGGACACACAUGAUAAUUUUAAAAUUAUGUGAGGAUAGUUUUGGUAUUAGAUAAUAUAAUCCAACAUAAUCCUAUGGAUAUCAAACAUAAUAUAGGAUUAAGUAGCCAUGAUAUCAAACACCCAUGAAAUAAUAUAAAUCCACACUAAUUUCUCAAGAUAAUUUUAAUCUUAAUCAAUCCUAAACUGCAAAUCAAACGGCCCCUAAGUGAUGAACUUUUUCAGUAUAACAACCUAGCUAGCCUAUAAGAAGAUAACUUUUUUCAAAUUGAGGGAUGGUGCUAUGUGAUAUUGUUGAAUGGCCAUCUGAACAUCAUGUGGUCAUUGUGACGAUUUUAGAGCUAGGCCAAAGUUCAAAGUAAAAGUCAUUGUAUAUCUUAUUUUUUUUAUCUUCUUCUUCUUCUGCUACAAAUUAUCAAAAUAGGUUCAACACACAAGUUUAUAACUUAUUAUGCUAUUAUUAGAGUUUUUCCCUCCGUAAUAGCUUGGAUUGUUACAUUAAUAUUGCCUUUCAAGGGGAGUUAUCUUGGAUUCUUUAUCUCAGAUACUGUUACAUUAAAAAUCCAAUUUCUCAUUAUAUUUUCUUGUGUGUACUGGCCUAUAUGUGAUUGUAUCAUCUUAAUAUUCCGAAACCAUAACUAAUGUGUAUGAACUUGCACCGAACUGUUAAGAGUUCAUAAUCAUAUCUUUUUCUAGGGUGGUAAGAAGUAGGAAGUUUAGACACAAAGGGUGAAGCUGAGUGAAUAAUUUCUUUUAUAACUUAAUAUUCUUUGUUUAUCUAUAAGUCUUGAGAUACAACUGCUUUUAAAAUAAUUGUCGGUUUUCUUCUUCCUGUAUAUUUCCCUGCCCAAGCAGUGGGACAAAUUUUCUAUUCCCAAUGCAUACAAUUAAUAUUGCCCAACAUACCUAGAACACCUUUUUUUUUUACUUGGGGGAGUUGGGGAGGGGGAGCAAUGGAGUUUGAACCCGAGACCUCACUGUUCACACACAGGAAGUCGCACCGCUUGGUGUCCCCGUGGGGACACCUAGAAGACCUCUUAAUUCACCGAAGUUAGAAAUUACUCCUUCAAUGAAUUUCGUAACUGAAAUUCUUAUGGUUUAUGUGCUCAUUUAAAUGUAAUCAUCAUGCAAAUAUGUUAUUUUUUUGUAGGCCAACAUCAUUGUUAGAUCCGGAGGGUCUUGAAUAAGUGUAUGGGGGGGGGAAUACACCUAUAGGUUAUUUUUCCUCAAAAAUAGAGGGAUCUCAAGAUAGAGAUCAAAACAAAACUUUACACGCAAACUUAGACGCCUGUUAACUGAAAGGAAUUUUGACCAAACAAGGUUGACGACUGAUACUGAAAUACUCUUCAGUAAAGAAUUAUCAGUUAAGUCACUGGAACUUAACUAAUUCACGUUAAGGCUUCAGUCGAGUUUGCUAAAACAGAGAUGUUACAAGUCUUCUUGACUAUCAGAGGAUAGAUCAGUCAGACUGAUAACAUACGCAGCGUAAAUAACUUUGUUUCGUAAUAGCCUUUGUUGAGCACGUUGUUAGUCUUAGGUUUCUCUUUGCAUUUAGUCAGUGUUCAGCUUAUCAAUGGAAAGAGCAUAAGUAAGAAUGUAAAACUGAAAGUUGUAAAUAACACAGAGAUUUUUACGUGGUUCGGAAAAACACUUCCUACAUCCACGGUCGGUUGAUCAGACCAACAACUUUACUCCCAAGUGCUUAACUAGUGCACUGCAAACCUAUCCGUGUGCUUAGCCGGGUGCACACAACCGAAUAUACUGAAGAUCCAAUCUUCAGUACCGACACUUCACUCGCGUUGGAUUUUCCACUCCUAGCACGAACCUGCACUAGGAUCUCACGGAGUCAGAGUACCUUCCUGAACUCCUUUUCAACUCAAACACUCGAUUCUGUAACUCGAAUGGAGGUUUGAAAUCUUGCCAACUAAACUUCAAAGAACAAGUUCUUUGGAGUUAGUUUUGACCUAGGCUUUGGGUAAACAGAGGUUUGCCUAAGGUCUAAGAGAAUGUGUGUAAUCAGCAGUGAUUGAUUUUUGGCUUUGGUAUUCUCUUCUUCGAUUCAAGCUUUGGAGAGAUUAAGCUUUGGCUGAGAAACAAUUUUGGCAGAGUUUCAGCUUAUGUCGUUGAAUCGGUGAAGAUUGAAGUGAUACUCGAGCGCUAUUUAUAGGAGAAGUCUUGAAUAGAUCCGUUGGCGGAGAACGUCUUCAAGAUUUCUUCCGUUGGAGAGCUUUUUGAGUUUGGGCUGAGGCUUCAAUCUUCGAGGUUCCUUGUUUGGUGAGAACGACUAUAUUGAAGAGUAGGAGAUUUGACAUUUCUGAUAAAGUAGCCACCAAAUAGGAAUGACCUCUGCAGAGAGGGAUGAUCCUGAGAUCUCUGUAUUUAAUGCGGUUGUACUUUUGGAGUACGUGGCUUCCUUUGAACGUUGGGGGUUCAGUCCGAGGAAGAAUGUUUAACUGAUACUUGACUUUAGUAUCAGUCCGCUGAAUCCACAUGGCACGCAUUAAGUAAUCAGUUCCGAACUGAUUCUUCAACUGAUACUUUAAUUGGUAACUCUAGUCUUCAGUCCUUCGUCUUUCAGUCUUCAGUCUUCAGAACAGCAAACUAAACUAGAAAAGAACUCUAACACUUGAGCUCGAACAGUUCUAGUCUAUUACAAUUAAGGUCUAUGAAUUUUGGUAUCAUCAAAACAAGGAUUAGGAUAUUUCAAUAAUUUCCCAACAAUCAUCAUAGUUGCAGUACAUUUUUGAAUCAAUGACAUACCUAGACGACCAGUGACAUUACAAUUUUGUUGAAAAAUUCACCGGUGGCAAUAAUUUUGUUCAUUAGUUGGAACAAUGAUUUUUGCAUAGGAAACCUUGCUCGAAAAAUUUCUGGAGGCUAAAUUGGAUCGUUUGAAAAGUAUUACAUGAACAGACUUUCGUAACCCUUAUCACGUUUUCGUUUAAUGAAUCGUCUUGUGUGGUUUUUCGGGUAUAAUGAUAUUUGAUCACUAUUUUAUUAACAAUGAAAACUGCAACUAACACAGCACAAUUGUAGUAAUAAAUAGCAACCGAGUAUCGUAUACUCAGGGACUGAUAAACGAAAUAACUCUAAGUACUCCCAAUUCAGAUUUUCUUAAUAUCCAGACAACAAAAUAAUGAUUGAUGAAUUGAAAUUUAAAAUAAAACAAAGCAAAUAAUAACAAGGAUAAAUCAAAUAAUAAACAACUCUGACCCUAGGGAUGUACUAUCGUUAAUUAAACACAUGCAUUCAAUCUAUUGAUUCAAUUACCAAUUUAAUCCAGCCCUAAUGAAAAAUCACAACACUAUUCAUAAGUUCUCUAACGAACACCUACUAACGUAGAUUAAUAAAUCCCUUAUCACAUUCAAGACUCAAAUGAAUAAAUUAACUCCCAACAGCACACAAAGAAUAGCUUCCUAUAGCUUCACUGUGCAUUCAAGACUCAAGGCUAACACUAUAUCAUGCAUUCUUGAAUCGGCUGAACAAUUAUCGCAUUCAAGACUCAAACUGAACAGCUAGACAUGUAAACUAUUGAUCAGAUAAUUCACAAGAUAAUAAGCACCAGGAAUCAUGAAUCACAAGCUGGAGGGCAAAAUGAUAUCAAUAAAUCAAACACACAUAUUUAAUCAACUAUGAACAAACCCUAGGUUCAGAUUAAGAAAACUAGCCAGACAUAGCAAAAUAAAACAUAAACAUAAUUAAAAAGAACGCAAUUGUAAAAACUGAAUUAAAUAAAACCUUUAAUAAAAUGAUGAACAAUCUUGAAUCUUCAAUCCUUGCAGAAAUCUGAUCCAAGUUCUAAAAACUAGAAAGCAAUGAAAAAUAAAAGCUAUAAAACUAAGAAAUAAAGUUGGGAACUCUAAAUAGGUCAAAACAAGACCUAUAUAUAGGCACAAGUGAUAAAUACAGCGUAGAACUCGAAAAUACUGAUAAAAUUCGAAAAUCCCGCAAAAUCCCGACAAAUUCGGAAAUUCUCGUCGGGCAUUAUUCAUUGAUGCGCGCGACUUUCUUAUUUCAAUCAUAUCUUUCUCGUCCGAACUACGAUUUGCAAACCGUUUGUGCCUAUGAAUUCGUAUCGAGACGAACUACAACUUUCAUUAAGACCACCAGUCCAAAUUCAGACUACAUAUUUUUGUAAAUUUCAUCAAAAUACGAACAAGUAACAUAUUUCACAAGAUAAAGCAAUUUAAGCACAAAAUAAUCAUCAAACACUCAAUUUCCUAUAAAAUUAACAUCUUAUGAACACUAAAAAUCAUGAAAAUAUGAGUGUUGUCAAUAUUUUCUCAAUUUCAAUGGCUACAUCCUCGAUCAUAAGAUCAAAAUUUUAAUAUGGGUCAGCAACGUGUUUUCCCCAUUCCUCAAAGGCUUGUUGAGAUUGAAAGCAUCAAAACUAGAACUUGAUAUCAUUUUUCUAGGAGUGCGGAUUAAAAUGAGCUAGAAAAUUAAAUGUAAUAAAUGUGUGUUGAAGGAGAUUUGUAGUACAAUCUUGAAUGAAUUUUAAGAUAAAUAUAUAGAACAUGCACGUGACUCUACAAAAAAAAAAA
rnacentral:lncRNA from 1 species